CCUACGGGUGGCAGCAGUGGGGAAUAUUGCGCAAUGGGCGAAAGCCUGACGCAGCGACGCCGCGUGAGGGAUGAAGGUCUUCGGAUCGUAAACCUCUGUCAGCAGGGAAGAACGGUCACUGUGCUAAUCAGCAGUGAAUUGACGGUACCUGCAAAGGAAGCUCCGGCUAACUCCGUGCCAGCAGCCGCGGUAAUACGGAGGGUGCGAGCGUUAAUCGGAAUUACUGGGCGUAAGGGGCUCGUAGGCGGUAUGUCAAGUCUGGAGUGAAAUGCCGCAGCUUAACUGCGGAACUGCUUUGGAAACUGGCGAACGAGAGUGCGGGAGGGGUAAGCGGAAUGCCUGGUGUAGCGGUGAAAUGCGUAGAUAUGAGGAGGAACACCGGUGGCGAAGGCGGCUUACUGGACCAUAACUGACGUUGAGGCGCGAAAGCGUGGGGAGCAAACAGGAUUAGAUACCCGAGUAGUC
rnacentral:rRNA from 1 species